GAAUGUGGGUAUGUCUGACACGUUCAUGCUCUGAUGCUUUGUACUUUUCCAGAUGGCCAUAAAGUAAUGUGUUACCCAUCUCUGGAAGCAUUCAAGAGACCACAAGAGCAUCUGUCAAGGAAGAAAAUGCUGUUGGCAGAAGAUGCUGCUUUGAAACAGGAAGUACAUUCAAUCAGAUCGUACGUUCAUCCUCUGCAUAGCAUCUACUCUAAAGGAGGAUGUCACCACUUUGAGUAAGAGGAGGUCUCUUGACAACAUUCAUAGACCAACCCAAAAUCCAAGUGCAAAUAAUGCAGGAAUAAAAAGAGAAAAUGACAUCA
rnacentral:lncRNA from 13 species